AUUGAACGCUGGCGGCAGGCCUAACACAUGCAAGUUGAGCGGAUGACGGGAGCUUGCUCCUUGAUUCAGCGGCGGACGGGUGAGUAAUGCCUAGGAAUCUGCCUGGUAGUGGGGGACAACGUUUCGAAAGGAACGCUAAUACCGCAUACGUCCUACGGGAGAAAGCAGGGGACCUUCGGGCCUUGCGCUAUCAGAUGAGCCUAGGUCGGAUUAGCUAGUUGGUGGGGUAAUGGCUCACCAAGGCGACGAUCCGUAACUGGUCUGAGAGGAUGAUCAGUCACACUGGAACUGAGACACGGUCCAGACUCCUACGGGAGGCAGCAGUGAGGAAUAUUGGACAAUGGGCGAAAGCCUGAUCCAGCCAUGCCGCGUGUGUGAAGAAGGUCUUCGGAUUGUAAAGCACUUUAAGUUGGGAGGAAGGGAAGUAAGUUAAUACCUUGCUGUUUUGACGUUACCGACAGAAUAAGCACCGGCUAACUCUGUGCCAGCCGCCGCGGUAA
rnacentral:rRNA from 1 species